rnacentral:rRNA from 1 species
AUACAAACACUUUAAAGUCAAAGAAUGUAAUCGCGUGUAACGCAUUUAAUACAACUUUCAGCAACGGAUCUCUUGGCUCUCGCAUCGAUGAAGAACGCAGCGAAAUGCGAUAAGUAAUGUGAAUUGCAGAAUUCAGUGAAUCAUCGAAUCUUUGAACGCACCUUGCGCUCCUUGGUAUUCCGAGGAGCAUGCCUGUUUGAGUGUCAUGGAAUUCUCAACCCUCUUAUCUUUGUUAUGAGAUGGGCUUGGACUUGGAGGUUAUUGCCGGCUUGUCAUGAGUCUGGCUCCUCUUGAAUUCAUUAGCUUGAACCCUUGUGGAUCAGCUACUCGGUGUGAUAAUUGUCUACGCCGUGUGCUGUGAAGCUUUCAAACACUUUGUUGUGUUGAGGGAUUCGCUUCCAAUCAUCCUUCAGUGGACAACUUUUGACCUCUGACCUCAAAUCAGGUAGGAUUACCCGCUGAACUUAAGCAUAUCAAUAAGCGGAGGAAAAGAAACUAACAAGGAUUCCCCUAGUAACUGCGAGUGAAGCGGGAAAAGCUCAAAUUUAAAAUCUGGCGGCUUUUGGCUGUCCGAGUUGUAGUCUGGAGAAGCGUCUUCCGCGC